ACACAUGCAAGUCGAACGGCAGCGGGGACGUUCGGUCCGCCGGCGAGUGGCGAACGGGUGAGUAAUGCAUCGGAACGUGCCUAUCAGUGGGGGAUAACGCUUCGAAAGGAGUGCUAAUACCGCAUAUUCUCUGAGGAGGAAAGCAGGGGACCUUAGGGCCUUGCGCUGAUAGAGCGGCCGAUGUCGGAUUAGCUAGUUGGUGAGGUAAAGGCUCACCAAGGCGACGAUCCGUAGCGGGUCUGAGAGGAUGAUCCUCCACACUGGGGACUGAGACACGGCCCAGACUCCUACGGGAGGCAGUAGUGGGGAAUUUUGGACAAUGGGCGAAAGCCUGAUCCAGCCAUGCCGCGUGAGUGAAGAAGGCCUUCGGGUUGUAAAGCUCUUUUGUCCGGGAGGAAAAUCCUGGCCUCUAAUACAGGUCGGGGAUGACAGUACUGGAAGAAUAAGCACCGGCUAACUACGUGCCAGCAGCCGCGGUAAUACGUAGGGUGCAA
rnacentral:rRNA from 1 species